UACUUUUAUUUUAAUUUUUUCGUUGCUUUUUUCUUCCAAUAAAAUUAAAGCUAAAAUAGCGGAACUCAUUGUAAAUUUAAGUAGAUUUUGUUCGGUAUUUUAUCGAAUGCUCUCACAUUUAUUAAUUUGCAAGUUUUGUCACAUUAGUAAACAGCUGAUUCGAAUAUUGGUUUUGCAUAUGUUCGAAAAGUCUUAAAUCUAAUCAGAUUCUGUGACAACAUUGAAAAUCAAAAUGGGUUUGCAAUUGUGACAACUACGCAAAUCUGUCUUUGAUUCCACCACACCCCUGAUUAUACCAGAGAACGUUGUUCUAAGUUCUCUGAUUAUACUACUAAAAACUCCUUUGAGUUAUGGCGGUGUACUUUCAAAAGCUUCGACAUCUUUGCAACUUAUCCGCCCAUUUAUGAGUCAACAUGCGUUCGAAGGGUUUAUGUCUGGUUUAAGCGUCACUCUGGUGCUUCUUUAGCGAGUUUUCGCUUUCACAAUAGCACACAUUUCUCCGCACCUCAGUCGCGCAAACGCUGCAAUAACAAUGCAUAUAGCUAUGCCAUGGCUGUCAGACCGAAUUCUACUCAAAACAUUCAAAAUUUUAUAAUUAAAAUAGCAUUUUCUCAACAUACACACAACUCGGAGCCAUUAUACUACAGUACACGCGCGCGCUGCCUAUUCCAUUUGACAUCCGCUUUACAUAAAAUUUACUUGACGAAUUUUCGGCUUUUCAGACAGACAGCAAGGCAAUUGCAAAUACUGUCAGACUGAAACUCUAACUUCGUCUGCUCUUACUUGCCUGUGACUUGCAAAUCAGUGUAAGUAAACACUGCUGACGGUGUCAGACAAAAAUUUUAAAAUUAAUGCAGCUCUUGGAUUCCAAACUCGCGUCACAGCGCACUCAUCUCAUGCAAAUCGGCAGCAACAACAACCAGUGUUCACAAUGUCUGCGCCCGUCUGCUGUUUGCAGGCGAAAUCUUCACCGCAAACAGCAAAUGACUGCCAGCGGCCAUCGAGCACUGCGUAUGGUAAGCACUCGUGCGCUGUGAACCGCAAGUACAAGUUAAAGCGCUCUGCAAAUAACUUUUUAAAGCAAUGACGCGACGUCACGAAGGCGACAGCGCGUAGCGGUUCAAAAGCCAAGGCGAGCGUUAAUGGAAAUGUUGAUGUGCACGUGUUGCUUGGUGUUGUUGUUGUGUUGGUCAGACAAGGCACGCGUCGCAAGCCUAUACACAUACAUCGUUGAGCGCCGGUCAACUGAAAUGGGUGAGCGCAAGUGAAAUUAUGUGAGUGCGGACAGAGUAAAAACAAAGCAACAAAUAUGUGCGUGCGCGUGUGCGUGUGUAUGUGUUUUGAGCGUGAAAUGCAAACGAGCGACAAGGUCGAAUGAAUGACUUGAGGAACGCCGCAUAAGCAAGGGAAAUCGAAGACGAAAUUUCGGCAGCCAUACAGAGAAAACUGCACAGAGUCGGUGUGAGAGCGCAGAAACACAAUGGUAUAAGUUAAUUUGAUGAGACUUUGUGUAUGUAGUGUAAUUCUUCUUUUAAUAUUUAUUCAAAUUGUGUAAGUUCUACUUUUAUUUGCACUAAUUUUUGACUGCGCCAUAUUUUCAACUUUA